GCCUACGGGGGGCAGCAGUAGGGAAUCUUCCACAAUGGGCGAAAGCCUGAUGGAGCGACGCCGCGUGGGUGAAGAAGGUCUUCGGAUCGUAAAACCCUGUUGUUAGAGAAGAAAGUGCGUGAGAGUAACUGUUCACGUUUCGACGGUAUCUAACCAGAAAGCCACGGCUAACUACGUGCCAGCAGCCGCGGUAAUACGUAGGUGGCAAGCGUUAUCCGGAUUUAUUGGGCGUAAAGGGAACGCAGGCGGUCUUUUAAGUCUGAUGUGAAAGCCUUCGGCUUAACCGGAGUAGUGCAUUGGAAACU
rnacentral:rRNA from 1 species